rnacentral:rRNA from 1 species
UACGAAGGGGGCUAGCGUUGCUCGGAAUUACUGGGCGUAAAGAGUGUGUAGGCGGUGCUCUAAGUCUGUUGUGAAAUCUCCCGGCUUAACUGGGAGGGUGCGGCGGAGACUGGAGUGCUAGAGUGUGGGAGAGGUAAGCGGAAUUCCUGGUGUAGCGGUGAAAUGCGUAGAUAUCAGGAGGAACACCUGUGGUGUAGACAGCUUACUGGACCACGACUGACGCUGAGACACGAAAGCGUGGGUAGCAAACAGG